GGCAAAAGGAUGAAACCUUUGUCGUCUGAAACCGAUGUGGAGCUUAAUAUCAUUCUGGUCUUCAAAGUUCUCUGAUUGCU